CAAGUCGAACGAUGAAGCCCAGCUUGCUGGGUGGAUUAGUGGCGAACGGGUGAGUAACACGUGGGUGAUCUGCCCUGCACUCUGGGAUAAGCCUGGGAAACUGGGUCUAAUACCGGAUAGGACCUUCGGCCGCAUGGCUGGGGGUGGAAAGUUUUUCGGUGCAGGAUGAGCCCGCGGCCUAUCAGCUUGUUGGUGGGGUAAUGGCCUACCAAGGCGACGACGGGUAGCCGGCCUGAGAGGGCGACCGGCCACACUGGGACUGAGACACGGCCCAGACUCCUACGGGAGGCAGCAGUGGGGAAUAUUGCACAAUGGGCGCAAGCCUGAUGCAGCGACGCCGCGUGAGGGAUGACGGCCUUCGGGUUGUAAACCUCUUUCACCCAUGACGAAGCGCAAGUGACGGUAGUGGGAGAAGAAGCACCGGCCAACUACGUGCCAGCAGCCGCGGUAAUACGUAGGGUGCGAGCGUUGUCCGGAAUUACUGGGCGUAAAGAGCUCGUAGGCGGUUUGUCGCGUCGUCUGUGAAAACCCGCAGCUCAACUGCGGGCUUGCAGGCGAUACGGGCAGACUCGAGUACUGCAGGGGAGACUGGAAUUCCUGGUGUAGCGGUGAAAUGCGCAGAUAUCAGGAGGAACACCGGUGGCGAAGGCGGGUCUCUGGGCAGUAACUGACGCUGAGGAGCGAAAGCGUGGGUAGCGAACAGGAUUAGAUACCCUGGUAGUCCACGCCGUAAACGGUGGGCGCUAGGUGUGGGUUUCCUUCCACGGGAUCCGUGCCGUAGCCAACGCAUUAAGCGCCCCGCCUGGGGAGUACGGCCGCAAGGCUAAAACUCAAAGGAAUUGACGGGGGCCCGCACAAGCGGCGGAGCAUGUGGAUUAAUUCGAUGCAACGCGAAGAACCUUACCUGGGUUUGACAUGUACCGGACGACUGCAAAGAUGUGGUUUCCCUUUGUGGCC
rnacentral:rRNA from 1 species